GCGAGAAUGGCGGAAUUGGCAGACGCGCAAGACUAAGGAUCUUGUAGAGAAUAUUCUCUGUGAGGGUUCGAGUCCCUUUUCUCGCA
rfam:Vagococcus fluvialis bH819 genome assembly, contig: Scaffold2